UACGAAGGGGGCUAGCGUUGCUCGGAAUCACUGGGCGUAAAGGGUGCGUAGGCGGGUCUUUAAGUCAGGGGUGAAAUCCUGGAGCUCAACUCCAGAACUGCCUUUGAUACUGAGGAUCUUGAGUCCGGGAGAGGUGAGUGGAACUGCGAGUGUAGAGGUGAAAUUCGUAGAUAUUCGCAAGAACACCAGUGGCGAAGGCGGCUCACUGGCCCGGUACUGACGCUGAGGUGCGAAAGCGUGGGAGCAACAG
rnacentral:rRNA from 1 species